rnacentral:lncRNA from 1 species
UUCGAAUAAGGAUAACUAAAUUGCAGCAGCAGUAAGGUAGGAAACCAGAACCUGUUGCAAUUCAUGGGGAGAUCAAAGGAUGAUCCGCGGUUGUGGAGAUGAUGGCGGAAUUCGGUGACGAUCUUUUAAGCAAUUGUGGGAAUUGCUUUGGGCGAUUGUGGAGGGCUGAUGGAUGGCAGUGGAAGGGCAGCGAGAUGCCAAGAACGCUGCUCUGAUACCAGGUGUUAGAACCCUUACAUAUUCUAAACUUGGGGUUGAUCUCUUUAGGCGAUCGGCCUCCUUGGAACUCUAUAGGGGUUCCUCCCUCCAAGUUGCUGCUCAAAGGCUACAGAAAAGAUUCAUCUAUUGCUUAAAAAAAGAGAAGGAAUACAUGGCUAUUUAUAGGGCUUCUAAACCCUAACUCCUAAUAGGACUCCUACUUAAGACUCUUACUUCUAACCAACUCCUAAUAUGACUCCUACUCAAGACUCAUAUUCCCUUACAACUCCUAAUUCUUCUCUAAGAAAAAACCUCUUACAUGAAUGUCCCUCUCAAUUAGGACUCUCCUAGUUAGAGUCCUAACAGAAUGUCCCUCUCAAUUAGGACUCUCCUAGCUAGAGUCCUAACAUGUUCGCUGGUGGCUUGCCUGGAAGGAUUGGAAUUCGAUGGUCAUGUUGCCGAGAAGGAGGAAGACCGUGCGGUUCAGCAAAUAUGUCGGCAAAUUCAGUAAGUAAUUGGGCAAGAUUUUGAUCUUUAAUUUCUAUUUUCUUCUCUUCCAGUUGUGGCUGGAGAUGCAUCAAAAAGCCACCAUUUACCUUGUGCAAAACUUUCUCCAUUCGUUGGGUCGAAACAGUGGUAACGUUGCUUCCGCGCUUCCCGCAUAGGAUGAUAUGUUUGCCCUUACAGUAGAAUUUCAUAAUUAAUUUAGAAAAGUUCCAAGAGACAUUACCUAGUGUAGUCAGCCAUUCUAUACCAAGCACUGCCUCAUAGUCAUCGAUUGGUAGGAGGAAGAAAUCGGUGAUAAUUUCUUGGUCUUGCAGUAAUAGUUUCACCUGCGGGCAUCUUUGGUCACACUUUAGGAUUCUGCCGUCGGCAACCUUUACAUCGAACUUGCUGCAACCUUCAAUAUGCAGUGCCAUCCGAGUAGCAACCUUACUAUUCAGGAAGUUAUUAGUGCUACCCAUGUCGAUGAGAAUAGUGAUCGGUUGUUGUUUGAGAAGGCCUCCAACUUUCAUCGUUUGCGGAUUUGAGUAGCCGGCUAGUGCGUGUACCGUAAUGUUAGUCAACUGUGGCUCUUCUUCCAUAUCUUCUUCUUCAUGUUCAAGGCUCUCUUCUAGAUGUUCAAUGACCUCUUCUUCUACUGGUUCAAUCAUAAGGAGUCUACCUUUUUUACAGCGAUGCUCGCGGCUCCACGGCUCGUCGCAAUGCCAACAUAACCCCUUUGUAGAUCGCUCCCGAAGUUCUUCUCUUGUUAACCUUUUUGGUGCAGGGACUCUAUUGAUAGUAGGGGGGGCUGAGGGCUUUAUUAUUGUAGGUUGUGGAGUGAUCCUAGUCCUCCGGGCUUCAUGAUUCAAUCGCUCCUCUUGAAGUCAUGCGAAAGAGAUGGCUGCCAUAAGCGUGUAAGGUUGUCGCGCCUUAACUUCUCCCCGGAUCUCCGGCUUUAAGCCCUCAAUAAAGGUCCCCAAUAACUGUUUUUCAGACCAAUCACGAGUUUGAUGAGAUAACCUUUCAAACCUGGUCUGGUACUCCUGAAUGGUGGAGGUUUGUCGGAUCUUUGCUAGUUGUCCGUCAAUGAUCUCGUAAUAAGUUGGUCCAAAGCGGAUCAGUAGUCCUUCUUUGAAUUGUCGCCAUGAAAGGACUCCAUAAGUGUGUUCAAACCAGUCAAACCAUUGUAUGGCAUCCCCUUCAAGAUGUAUAGCUGCAAUUUCCACCAUGGAUGCAUCCGCAGUUUUAUGGUACCGAAAAUAUCGCUCCGCAUGCGAGAUCCAACCAAUUAGGUCUCCUUCUUCCCAUCUAGGGAAGUCCACUCUCAUGCGCGAAUAGUUGGGGUCGGUCAUAGAGCCUCCCUUCUCUUGGAAGUCAUCUCUUUGGGCAUGAUGUGAUUGGUUAGAGCUCUCUCCUUGAUGUGAUUUCUUCGGGCUUGGUGGUCGGCCCAAACUGAAUUCGGUAAGGAGAGUCCGAAUCUUAUCCUCCAUUCGUGCCUCAAAGGCUUCAAAUUUAGCAUUGAUUGCCUCCUCAGAUGCCAUAGUAUAUGACUCCAAAUCUGUGAUGUUAAGAUCUCUCUUUUGUUGACGGGUUAAAGGCAUGUGUAGGUUUGAUAGAAAUCAGUGAAAGUUUGCUGCAGAAUUGUGUUGUCUUGUAAGAGCAGAAUUAUCGUUGAAGAAACAGCGGUUUCUCGAUGAAAUCUCCACAAAAAAUUUGAGAGAUUUGAGGAGGGAAUUGACAGCAAUAUCUCAGUUUAUAUGACAGCAAGGAUGUCCAAUUUAAUCAAGAAAAUUUCGACAGUAACAGCAUGAAAAUUGGUGUAAGUUGCGAUAGCAGAAUUCUCGUCGAAAAAUUUCAGCAACUUAUGAUGAAAAUUUACAGCAAUAUAGGAACGAAUUUUUUUUUUUUUUUGGAUUUUCGAAUAGGGAUAACUAAAUUGCAGCAGCAGUAAGGUAGGAAACCAGAACCUGUUGCAAUUCACGGGGAGAUCAAAGGAUGAUCCGCGGUGGUGGAGAUGAUGGCGGAAUUCGGCGACGAUCUUUUAAGCAAUUGUGGGAAUUGCUUUGGGCGGUUGUGGAGGGCUGAUGGAUGGCAGUGGAAGGGUAGCGAGAUGCCAAGAACGCUGCUCUGAUACCAGGUGUUAGAACCCUUAUAGAUUCUAAACUUGGGGUUGAUCUCUUUAGGGGAUCGGUCUCUUUGGAACUUUAUAGGGGUUCCUCCCUCCAAGUUUGCUGCUCAAAGGCUGCAUAAAAGAUUCAUCUAUUGCU